CCUACGGGUGGCAGCAGUGGGGAAUAUUGGACAAUGGGGGGAACCCUGAUCCAGCCAUGCCGCGUGUGUGAAGAAGGCCCUCGGGUUGUAAAGCACUUUCAGUGAGGAAGAACGCCUGGUGGUUAAUACCCAUCAGGAAAGACAUCACUCACAGAAGAAGCACCGGCUAACUCCGUGCCAGCAGCCGCGGUAAUACGGAGGGUGCGAGCGUUAAUCGGAAUUACUGGGCGUAAAGCGCGCGUAGGUGGCUUGAUAAGCCGGUUGUGAAAGCCCCGGGCUCAACCUGGGAACGGCAUCCGGAACUGUCAAGCUAGAGUGCAGGAGAGGAAGGUAGAAUUCCCGGUGUAGCGGUGAAAUGCGUAGAGAUCGGGAGGAAUACCAGCGGCGAAGGCGGCCUUCUGGACUGACACUGACACUGAGGUGCGAAAGCGUGGGUAGCAAACAGGAUUAGAUACCCGAGUAGUC
rnacentral:rRNA from 1 species